CGACCCCAGGUCGGGCGGGACCACCCGCUGAGUUUAAGCAUAUCAAUAAGCGGAG
rnacentral:misc_RNA from 1 species